UACGUAGGAGCAAGGCGUUGUCCGGAAUCAUUGGGCGUAAAGCGCGCGUAGGUGGCUUCGUAAGUCCGUUGUGAAAGUCAAAGGCUCAACCUUUGAAAGCCGAUGGAUACUGCGGAGCUAGAGUACGGAAGAGGCGAGUGGAAUCCUGGUGUAGCGGUGGAAUGCGCAGAUAUCAGGAGGAACACCAUAGCGAAGGCAGCUCGCUGGGACGUUACUGACACUGAGGCGCGAAAGCAUGGGGGAGCGA
rnacentral:rRNA from 1 species